rnacentral:rRNA from 1 species
GAUUAACGCUGGCGGCGUGCCUAACACAUGCAAGUCGAACGCAGUGGCGGACGGGUGAGUAACGCGUGAGUAACCUGCCUUAGAGAAGGGGAUAGCCUUUGGAAACGAAGAAUAAUACCCUAUGCUCUAAGAGGGCAUUGCGUCUGAUUAGUUAGUUGGUGAGGUAACGGCUCACCAAGACAGCGAUCAGUAGCCGGCGUGAGAGAGUGUACUGCCACAUUGGGACUGAUACACGGCCCAGACUCUACGGGAGGCAGCAGUGGGGAAUUUUGCACAAUGGGGGAAACCCUGAUGCAGCGACGCCGCGAGAUUUAGAAGGCCUUCGUGUUGUAAAAAUCUUUUCUAUGGGAAGCAGUACCAUAGGAAUAAGGACCGGCUAAUUACGUGCCAGCAGCCGCGGUAAUAC